AUAAAAGAACAGGUGGCACAUGGCUAAGGCAAAAAUUUCCAAGCUGGCCCUGGGAUCACUGAGAUUUGGGAAACACACUGUGAAGACAGGAACAUGAAGUGAGUGUGUGAGCUGAGAAUCAGGCUGGCUCUCAGGCCCGGGUGUGGACAGGGGCCUGCGGCUGGAGAGAUCCCAGGAGAGUCGGGGAGGAAGCAAGUGCUUGUUCCAGAAGAGAGGCUGAGAGGGUCUGAGCCAGGCCGCGGAGCUGGAGGCCAGAAGUGUGGAGUGAGGGCAGCCACCUGCCUGCUGAGAAGCGCCAGGAAGGCUUGCAGGCUCCCGCUGGCCUGUUUGCUUUGGAGCACGAUGAACCCGCCCUGAUCUGCUCCCCGCCCCAGGCUUCCUGCACCUUGGUCGGCCGUGCUCCCUGCUGUGCCCUGAUGCCAGGAGCAGGGCCUGGCACAGCAAGGCCACCGCGGGGACGUGCUGGUGAACGGGGCCCCCACUGUGUGAGGAAGAAGAGUUGGUCUCUUAGUCUUGUCCGUCUACUUACGUUCACUUGAACUUCCACAGUCCUUGGUUUAUGGUCUGGGCUGCAGACAACAUCAGUGGGACCAGAUGACAGAGGACUCCCCUUU